rnacentral:snRNA from 1 species
GUGCUCACUUUGACAGCGCAUAUACUAAAAUUGAAAUGAUACAGAGAAGAUUAGCAUGGCCCCUGUGCAAGGAUGACGCUCAAAUUCGUGAAGCGUUCCAUAUUUUG